GCUUAACACAUGCAAGUCGAGGGGCAGCAUUUUAGUUUGCUUGCAAACUGAAGAUGGCGACCGGCGCACGGGUGAGUAACACGUAUCCAACCUGCCGAUAACUCCGGGAUAGCCUUUCGAAAGAAAGAUUAAUACCGGAUAGCAUACGAAUAUCGCAUGAUAUUUUUAUUAAAGAAUUUCGGUUAUCGAUGGGGAUGCGUUCCAUUAGUUUGUUGGCGGGGUAACGGCCCACCAAGACUACGAUGGAUAGGGGUUCUGAGAGGAAGGUCCCCCACAUUGGAACUGAGACACGGUCCAAACUCCUACGGGAGGCAGCAGUGAGGAAUAUUGGUCAAUGGGCGCGAGCCUGAACCAGCCAAGUAGCGUGAAGGAUGAAGGCUCUAUGGGUCGUAAACUUCUUUUAUAUGGGAAUAAAGUUUUCCACGUGUGGAAUUUUGUAUGUACCAUAUGAAUAAGGAUCGGCUAACUCCGUGCCAGCAGCCGCGGUAAUACGGAGGAUCCGAGCGUUAUCCGGAUUUAUUGGGUUUAAAGGGAGCGUAGGUGGAUUGUUAAGUCAGUUGUGAAAGUUUGCGGCUCAACCGUAAAAUUGCAGUUGAAACUGGCAGUCUUGAGUACAGUAGAGGUGGGCGGAAUUCGUGGUGUAGCGGUGAAAUGCUUAGAUAUCACGAAGAACUCCGAUUGCGAAGGCAGCUCACUAGACUGUCACUGACACUGAUGCUCGAAAGUGUGGGUAUCAAACAGGAUUAGAUACCCUGGUAGUCCACACAGUAAACGAUGAAUACUCGCUGUUUGCGAUAUACAGUAAGCGGCCAAGCGAAAGCAUUAAGUAUUCCACCUGGGGAGUACGCCGGCAACGGUGAAACUCAAAGGAAUUGACGGGGGCCCGCACAAGCGGAGGAACAUGUGGUUUAAUUCGAUGAUACGCGAGGAACCUUACCCGGGCUUAAAUUGCAACAGAAUAUAUUGGAAACAGUAUAGCCGUAAGGCUGUUGUGAAGGUGCUGCAUGGUUGUCGUCAGCUCGUGCCGUGAGGUGUCGGCUUAAGUGCCAUAACGAGCGCAACCCUUAUCUUUAGUUACUAACAGGUCAUGCUGAGGACUCUAGAGAGACUGCCGUCGUAAGAUGUGAGGAAGGUGGGGAUGACGUCAAAUCAGCACGGCCCUUACGUCCGGGGCUACACACGUGUUACAAUGGGGGGUACAGAAGGCGGCUACCUGGUGACAGGAUGCUAAUCCCAAAAACCUCUCUCAGUUCGGAUCGAAGUCUGCAACCCGACUUCGUGAAGCUGGAUUCGCUAGUAAUCGCGCAUCAGCCAUGGCGCGGUGAAUACGUUCCCGGGUCUUGUACACACCGCCCGUCAAGCCAUGAAAGCCGGGGGUACCUGAAGUACGUAACCGCAAGGAGCGUCCUAGGGUAAAACUGGUAAUUGGGGCUAAGUCAU
rnacentral:rRNA from 1 species